UGUUACAGCACGGCAUCAGCAGAGGAUCAGUCCUGCCAGCUCCCAAGGAGACAGAUCAAAAUUUGCUGAUAUAGAUUUCAUAGCACUUACUCUGACUCCAAAGGCUCAGAAUAGGGCUGUUGCAGUUUUGAAAUAAGUGUGUCAGGUGCUGCAGAACACUUCCAUACGAUCAACACAGCUCUUCUUGUGGUUGACAUAUCAAAAUGACGUUAUGUACAGUGAUGUAGUUUCACGUCCUUCUAGUAUUCUUGCUCUGAGAAUCACCUGCUGUUCCUCCUUCACAAAGAGGAUCCCAGAAGCUACUGGCAGGAAGACAAAAAGGCAGAAAUGUCAUAGAAAACACAGAAUCCAUCCGUUACAGAGGUUUUACAUCAGCAUCUGUUGUCACUACCAGGACCAGCACUGGUGCUCCCCACUUCUCAGAGUUGCCCUUUUGAUUUUCAGAAGCUCAGCUGUCUAUCUGUUGAAGAAACUAGCCUAUGGAGGGCACAUCUCAGAUACAGAGCUGUAUUUUGAUACAAGCACAUUGGAUAAUGUGGAAGAAGAUGGCAUGGGACAGUUGAUCCUAGAGGAGCAAAACUGCUGGAUUGCAGUUAACGGCUUAACAAUCUUUGUGUAUGCGGGAAGAUCUUGA
ensembl:lncRNA